rnacentral:lncRNA from 1 species
GAAAACCUCAAAUAUGCAGAAAAAUAGCAUAGAGUAGCAAAACUCAAUAGAUAAACCCCCAGUACUAUCUACAAAACUAGAAACCGACAAAUAGGUGUCACAUGGGUCUGAAAUUAUGCUGAUACACUCCAGGUAUUAAACACGCUAGAGAAAGAAGAUAGUUUCGAUGUUUAUAGGUGAAUAACCAAAUGAUUGCGAUCAAAUGACAAAAUGGACAGCAUGUACAGUAAACAGGUUUCCUUCAGAGGCAGAAAGUUCAAUUCAUUGCUGAAAUGCACAUAGUAUAGGUGAAUAACCAAAUGAGGUUUUGAGAUCAAAUGACAAAAUGGACAGCAUGUACGGUAAACAGGUUUCCUUAAGAGGCAGAAAGUUUAAUUCAUGCCGAAAUGCACAUCUCAACACAAGAAAAAUAUCUAACAAAGCUAUGAAGAUAAUAUAAGAAAGAUAACAUACC